AUGCAAGAGCCUAACCCACAAUCAACCGUUAGCAUAACAAACGACAAAGAAGAAGAAAACAACGAAGAGGAGGUAUCACAGGCACUGCAAGACCAAGAGACAACCCGUGUUGAAAUUGAACCCCAUAGUGAACCUCAAACAGACGAAGGCGUCACAGAACAGGAACUUUGUGCUAAGAGUGUCUCCAAAGAUAAAGAUCUGAAGAUCACUAUCACGAGUACAAAGGAGAAAGCGCAAGACAUCCCAGCAGAUGAGAAACAAGAGACUGUUAUACCUGACAAAGAAACAGUAGAUGCAGGCACAAAUAACCCAGUCAUCAACACGGAGGAAACAAACGAGUACGCUGAUCUCGAAGAUCAAGAAAUUCAAACAACAACAUCUGAAGAGGUGGCUACAAAGCUCAGACACAAAUGA
rnacentral:rRNA from 1 species